AUAUAGUAGUAAGUGGACACAGACUCGCUCUCUCCAUAAAGAAUUCCAGUGGUAAUUUACUUUUUUUUUUUUUUUAAUUUUUCAUUGCAUAAAUAAAAUUGGGGUUUCUAAAUUUUGGAUGUGUUUUUUGGAACAGUGUUGCAAUUUUAGGUCUGUUGUAUUUCUUCAUUCGUGCACUGUGCGUAAAUCGGCUUCAAAGGGCAGUCAGGUUUCUUCUUUAUUGUGCACUGUGCGUAAAUCGGCUUCAAGUAGUCACCUUAUUCUUGCUACUCUGUAAGUGAAGGAGAAAGUUUUGCAGAGGUGCAAUGAGUCACAAACUUUUUAGGCUGUUUGGUUGGUAAAGAUAGCAUAGUAUGCGAGAAAAAAAACUGGGAAAUAUAGUAGUAAGUGGACAUGAAAAAGAUCAUGAUUAAUGAGACUAAACCAUUAAAACAGAGCAUGAUUAAAGAGGCCAUGAUUUAUUAAUGGAACCAUGACAUUACAAGUUAACUUUAUGUUUUUGGAUGUACAUAUUGUUUAUCUUUUGUUUUGAAUCAAUGUAUCAAAAAGUACCAGAAUUUGGUCAUGAUAUAUUGAAGAAAUGUAACCUACGUCGUAUGAUUAAACAUUAACAUUAUUUCAUUUACACAUUUAUCAAAUACAUUUAAAAAAUUUAAGAGCGUCCAGCGCCUGUGAUAAAUAGAAGGUCUUUUGCACGUGCGUAUGCACGUGAGUAUUGUGUAUGUUUACAUUGAAAUAAUGUGUAUGUAGAUUGGUAUGAAUCAGUGGCCAUACUAUUUCAGUGUUUUUUGGUACUUCCCUAAUCCUGUGAUUGAGUGCAGGGUAUAGCCGAAACAGAAAAAACUAAUGUACACGAAUUUCUUGAUGUUAACGGCAGACCAGUUCUCAUAGUGGAUGCUUCUAAGCAUCUUUCUGCUGUAAAUUUUAUAUUUUUCGCCAUACUCUAAGGGACACCAUCCAUCAAGAGUAUCGUGAUGUUGUCGAGAGGCGAGUUUUUACAGUAACGAGCAUAAGAGCUGAUGAAGAGACAAUUGAAAGAUUAAUCGACACACAAUACAGUGAACAUAUUUUAUGGAUGGCAAUCCAAGAACAAGGUGGAGGCCAGAUAAUGGACACUUUGGCCAAAAUUCAAGAGCGACACGAUGCUGUUAAAGAUCUUGAAAGAAAGCUUCUGGAUUUACAACAGGUGUUUGAAAAUUUUCAACUCUGCAAGUUGUGAAAAAAAGGGUUUCGAAGUAUUGUGCUUUCACGUUUCGUCAUCUUUCCAUUUCUGUUUCAAGGAUUUUUGCACUAAAGGUCGAAGACUUCUCAAGGGAGCCACAAGUAGAACGUGAACUGAUGCUUAUCAAACUUAAUGCAUAUCCAAGUAUCCCUCCAGAGAAAUACAUUCGGGUGAGAGCGGGUCCAAGAGGUGUUUUCAAAUAAAAGUUAUCUCCAGUGGCUUUGGUGCAUUGAAUUAGUGGAGCAUUUAAACAGAGAUACAAACAGAAUUACUGCAUUACUAAGUUUUAAGAUUUUUGGAGGACUACAACAUAUCAAGUAUGGAGGGAAUUGAUAGAAGCGAUAUGUCAGAGGUUGGCAAUGAAGAAGUUGACUUUGGACAAACAAAUGUUCACAAUUUUCAACAGUCAGACCCAAGGUAUCGUAGGAGUAAUCAAGAAAGGCAAAAUCAUAGGAGCAAUCAACAAAGACAAAGACGACAAUCUAUGAAUUCAUCACAGCGGGCUCGAAUUUCAAUACGACGACGUGCCAAUUAUCAAACCCGCUUGAACUCAAUCAAUAUAGUCCAAAAUCAAACAGAAGUAAACCAAGAAAACAUAGGACCGACAUCUGCGGGUAACUAUGAUUUCUUAUUUUUUUGUCUCUAUUCAAUUCGUAUGUUGUAUUAACAUUUUUGUACAAAUUAUUAAGACAAAUAUAAUAAGAUUGAACAAAUCAGUGAUUCUAAGUUGUCAUUGCCUUUUUGUACUAUCAAUGCAAACAUCCAUUUAAUAAUUCUGUUAUGUCUAUAAUAAUUUCAACAUUUGGAUUGUAUAUAUUUACCAUAGUGACCAACGUUUUAACAAGUACUCCAAACAAGAAAAAUAAAUAAAUAAAUAAAAAUUAAAAAAAUAAAUAAAAAUAAACAAAUAAGGAAAGGAAUAUUAUGUAAACUUGGAAUAACAGUUCAACUAUAAUAGUCAAGAGAAAAAUAUAAAAAUAACAUCACAUAAAGAUAUAGUACAUCGAUACUAAAUGGAAAAAAUUGUGAA